rnacentral:rRNA from 1 species
AUGAGGGCCCUUUUCUGGAACCUCCGCGGCUUCGGCCAUGACGGCCGUCGCCGCCAGCUCGUCGAGUACAUCCGGGAUGAGCAUAUUGACAUUGUAGCCAUCCAGGAAACCCUUCGAUCCGAGUUCACCCUUCAAGAGCUUGAGCAUCUGAGCCCCCACCUCUUCGCGUGGCACUGGCUCCCUUCUAGUGGGACUUCAGGCCACUCGGGUGGCAUCCUCCUUGGGGUAAAGGACACCACUUUUGAGGUGGGUGGCAUGGACCGAGGGGAGUUCUUCGUUAGUAUGGAGAUCUUUGAGCGGGCUCUGAACUUCAAGUGGGAGGUCAUUGUUGUCUACGGACCGGCGGAUCACCGCCGAUCCCCGGCCUUCCUCGCCGAGGUUCAGCUGAAGAUCUCCAACUCCACGCUCCCGGUGUUAGUGGGGGGUGACUUCAAUCUCAUC